rnacentral:rRNA from 1 species
GAUGAACGCUAGCGAUAGGCCUAACACAUGCAAGUCGAGGGGCAGCACAUGAAGUAGCAAUACGGAUGGUGGCGACCGGCGCACGGGUGAGUAACGCGUAUGCAACCUGCCUACAACAGGGGAAUAACCCGUUGAAAGACGGACUAAUACCCCAUAACACAGGGAUCCCGCAUGGGAAUAUUUGUUAAAGAUUUAUCGGUUGUAGAUGGGCAUGCGUUCCAUUAGCUGGUUGGUGAGGUAACGGCUCACCAAGGCAACGAUGGAUAGGGGAACUGAGAGGUUUAUCCCCCACACUGGUACUGAGACACGGACCAGACUCCUACGGGAGGCAGCAGUGAGGAAUAUUGGUCAAUGGACGCAAGUCUGAACCAGCCACGUUGCGUGAAGGAAGACGGCCCUACGGGUUGUAAACUUCUUUUGUAAGGGAAUAAAGUGUAGUACGUGUACUAUUUUGCAUGUACCUUACGAAUAAGGAUCGGCUAACUCCGUGCCAGCAGCCGCGGUAAUACGGAGGAUCCGAGCGUUAUCCGGAUUUAUUGGGUUUAAAGGGUGCGCAGGCGGGAGAUUAAGUCGGCGGUGAAAUUUUGCAGCUCAACUGUAAAAGUGCCUUCGAAACUGGUUUCCUUGAGUGUGGAUGAAGUAGGCGGAAUUUGUGGUGUAGCGGUGAAAUGCAUAGAUAUCACGAGGAACUCCGAUUGCGCAGGCAGCUUACUAAACCAUAACUGACGCUCAGGCACGAAGGCGUGGGGAUCAAACA